rnacentral:lncRNA from 1 species
AGGUGCACACCCAGUGGCCUCUGCAGUUUCCUCUGAUGUCCCCAAAUUCUCUCACCUGGUUUCCUCAUCUGAGGCAGCCCCACCAUCUAUCUAGUCAUGAGGUCAAAGCUCCAUCUUGUCCCCUCUUCCCCAACAGCGCAUCAGUCUCUUAGCCAGAUCCCUCCUGCCUGCUGAGUCUCCACUCCACCCCUCUUCUCUGUCCUGAGGGCUCAGGCAGGCUCUGGGCUCCUGCUCUCCUACCUGGACCCUGACUUUAGGCUUCUCCCUGGCUUCUAGUUUCUCCCUCCAGUCUGUCCCCCACAUAGCCCCAGAGGGGUCUUUUUGAAACCCAGUCCUGAGCCACACAGUUCUGUAUCCAAACGCUGAGUCACCACCUGCCUCAUCCCUCA